AGAGAUUUGGGAGUGCUCGAAAAAGAGCCAGAACACAGGUGCUGCAUGGCCGUCGUCAGCUCGUGUCGUGAGAUGUUGGGUUAAGUCCCGCAACGAGCGCAACCCUUGUCAUUAGUUGCUACGAAAGGGCACUCUAAUGAGACUGCCGGUGACAAACCGGAGGAAGGUGGGGAUGACGUCAGGUCAUCAUGGCCCUUAUGGGUAGGGCUACACACGUCAUACAAUGGCCGGGACAGAGGGCUGCCAACCCGCGAGGGGGAGCUAAAAANAGAAACCCGGUCGUAGUCCGGAUCGUAGUCUGCAACUCGACUGCGUGAAGUCGGAAUCGCUAGUAAUCGCGGAUCAGCUUGCCGCGGUGAAUACGUUCCCGGGUCUUGUACACACCGCCCGUCACACCAUGGGAGCGGGUUCUGCCAGAAGUAGUUAGCCUA
rnacentral:rRNA from 1 species